UGCAGAAGCCAAGGUUCAGAAAGCAGCACACGGCCUGACAGGUGCCCGUUAUUCCUCCUAGGACAGACAGGCUGUAAAACGAAGAAGAAUGUAUUGAAUGGGAGGAAGACUUGCACCGAUUAAAACAAUGUCACAGCCCCGCAGAAAACAGCCCAUAUACAGCGAUGGCUUCGUCAAACCAGGUUUUGAGAGAGUUUUGGAAGUAUUCAGAUAUAAUUUGGAGAAUGACAUAGAGAGGGGAGGGACAUUUGCUGCUUACUAUCGAGGGGAGCUGGUGGUAAAUAUCUGGGGUGGCUAUGCUGACCGCAAGGCCAGGGUCAAGUGGAAGAGGGACAUGAUGCCAUGCUUUUAUUCCACCACUAAGUCCCCAUCAGCAGCGGUUAUAGCCCACCUGGUUGACAGAGGUUUCUUGGAUUAUUCGGAGAGAGUGUGUAAGUACUGGCCAGAUUUUGCUGCCAAUGGAAAAGAAGACAUCACUCUGGAAACUUUAGUCACAAACAGGGCAGGUUUGUCAUGCACUGAGGAAAAAUUCACCGUUGCAUUGUCAAAGGAUGACCCAGAAAAACUAGGAAAAAUCUUAGCCAACCAGAAGCCACUAUGGAAGCCUGGUGCAAACCACGGGUACCACCCAAUUACUUUCGCUUUGUACUUGGAUCAGAUUGUUAGAAGGGCCGACCCUCUCAAGAGGAGUCUGUCUCAGUACUUUCAUGAAGAAAUGGCCGUACCAUUUGGUUUUAAUACAUGUACAGACCUAUUGAUCCUACAGGUUUGGACUUUAAAAUUGGCCUUCCUUAUGAGGAGCAGUAUAAAGCUCCUCGUAUUGUCAUGAUGAAAUCAUUUGAUCAACAAGAGUACAUUCAGAACUUUAAAGGAGACCUCAGCAUCCUUCAGCUGACGGCCACACACCCCACAGAUUUCAUAGGGGUCAGGAGAAUGAAUGACCCAGAUGUUCGUGUGCUGCCCGUGGGGUCGAUAUGCGGUCACGGUACAGCAGAGUCCAUGGCCAAGUUCCACGCCAUUCUGGGGGAGGGGGGAACCUGGCAAGGGAGACAACUGCUCUCCAAGGCGUCAGUAGAGAGGUUUCAGCAGAUAAAGAGUGCAGGUUUUGAUCUGGCCUUUAGUAUGGACGGAAUGUGGAGCUAUGGAAUGAUGCUUUUUCCAGUCAAGGAACAGGGGAAACCAAUGAUGUUUAUGUUUGGCCAUGGUGGUUAUGGAGGACAGAUGGGACUGGCAGAUACCACUUAUCGAGUGGGGCUGGCGUACGCCACCAGCCACCUAGACCCCACCUCUCGGGCAGGGGCGGAUGCCGACAAACGCUGGCCGUCCAUGUACAAUACUCUGUACGAGUGUAUACACCAGAUAGAGAACGUCCGCGUCCCCAGGAAGACUUUUUAUCUGUAUGAGGACUACAAGAAGGACAAAGACUCCAGCAAGUUGUGACAGCCAGUAGCAGUUUAAUUAAUUCCGGUGCUGUUUUGGAUUAACCUAUUCUGCAGAUCAGUUCCUCGGGGAUAAAUGUACCAAUGAUAACGUACAAUGUAAAUUAUAAAUUUAAUUCUGUUAUUUUAUAUUGAUUUUUAUGCAAUGAUUUUUAUACUAUUGUUGAUUAUACAUAUAUACCAAUAUAUUGAGUAUUUGAAAAAUUGGUUGUUGACAAUAAAUUGAAUUGUAAAUUUU
rnacentral:misc_RNA from 1 species